GACGUAGGUGGCGAACGUUAUCCGGAAUUAUUGGGCGUAAAGGAUGCGUAGGUGGCCUGACAAGUUAUCAGUGGCAAAUCGAGGCUCAACCUCGUGGAAACUGGUAAUACUGUUCGGCUUGAGUACAGGAGAGGUUAACGGAACUCUAUGUGGAGCGGUAAAAUGCACAGAUAUAUAGAAGAACAUCAAUAAAGGCGAAGGCAGUUAACUAUUCUGUUACUGACGCUGAGGCACGAAAGCGUGGGGAGCAAAACGG
rnacentral:rRNA from 1 species